rnacentral:lncRNA from 1 species
CUCUCUUUCUCUCUCUCUCCUCCCCAACAACACACCCUCCCUCCCCACCAACAACACAUGCACGUGUAUACACACACAUUCUCUUUCUCUCCCCCACUCUCUCUUUUCAAUAUUUAAUUAUAAUUAAUUUUUAUUAUUAUAAUAAUAAAAAGUAUUUUUUAAUAAUAAUAAAUAGUAUUAUUACUAAAUUAUAAAAUUUAUUAUUAUUAUUAUUAUUACUAUUAAUAUUUAAUUUGACUAUAUGACUUUAUUAAACAUUCGAUAGAAAUACACACUUAAAAU